rnacentral:rRNA from 1 species
UACGUAGGGUCCGAGCGUUGUCCGGAAUUACUGGGCGUAAAGAGCUCGUAGGUGGUUUGUCGCGUUGUUCGUGAAAACUCACAGCUUAACUGUGGGCGUGCGGGCGAUACGGGCAGACUUGAGUACUGCAGGGGAGACUGGAAUUCCUGGUGUAGCGGUGGAAUGCGCAGAUAUCAGGAGGAACACCGGUGGCGAAGGCGGGUCUCUGGGCCGAUACUGGCGCUGAGGAGCGAAAGCGUGGGGAGCGAACAGG